ACGCUCUCUCGACUCUCGUUCUUAUUCCUUUCCUCCUCCGCUUCAAGAUCGCCGAUCGCACCCCUCUCCGCCCUUCGCCUUCUUCUAUCUUCGGUCGCCACCGUCGCACAGCCUCGCAGAAAGGUCUCUAGUCGCCGUUCGCGCAGGCCGCCCGUCCUUCGCCGUCGUGUCUUCGGUCGCUUUCGCACACCGCCCUCGCCGGUCGCCGUUCGGGCAGGCCGCCCGCCCUUUGCCGUCGUGUCUUCGGUCGCCUUCGCAAACUGCCCUCGCCGGUCGCGGUUCGCACAGGUCAAUAAAGAAAUUAAAGAAAGCAGGAUUAGGGGCCACAUCAAAGGUACCGGUGAGACACAAGUAUUUGAUGAGUAAAGUCCAUCAGGAAAAGAUUACUUGGCUGAGAGCUGUUGAAUGUUCGCACUCAGUCAGCAAAACUUGAUUUUCUUCAUAAGAAAGUUUUAGAUACUAAAGAUGAUGGCAUUUUCAGGAUAUUCUAUGCAGGCUUGAAGAAUUAAACAGUGAAGCUGAUAAGAAAUUAACAGCUGCUAUUGCAAUCAAUGCCAAGGUAUUCAAUCCAUACAAUUCAUCAGUGUGAUGCGAAAAAAAAAAAAACAAAAAACAAAAAGAAAUCGAAGAAAUAACUCAAAAGGUACGCUUUAUCAAUAAACAUUUGACUGUUAGAGUGAUUUUAAGUUUAUUUUUGUCCAAACGUGUUAAUUAUGUACUAAUUUGUUGAAAAAU